GCUAAGUCAGACACCAUACAUAGGAGGGGGGAAAAUACUUCACAAGAGCCAUGUAAAGUGUCCAGUAGACAGACACCACUUUGUUCUUUGCUCAGAAGGCAGGAACUUGCUGAAAACUCUUCUCCUAAAAGAAGACUAUAAAGAAACCGAGAAGAAUUGUUUAGUAAAAAAUCAGUAAUUUAAAACAAAAUAAACACAAAAAAGGAGAGAUGUAUACUCAAGAGCCGCCAUACACACAAUUGGAGCAGUCAAGACACAAAGGAGGAAGUCAGAAAACAGAAGUUUGACUCUCCUCUCAGCUCCGAGGACCACCCCUACUCUUACCUGGAGGUUCCAGCCAUCUUUUAUGAGUCUACCUCUUCCAGCCCACAGCAGGGGUGACCAGAGCCGGGCAGCUCCUGGGGCAGCCUCAGCCCUCCAGGACAGUGACUUCCAUCAGGCCAUGUCCCUGAUGCCCUUGCUGGAGAUGAACUACCAAGGUUUCGAUCAAGUAGGAUAGGAUAUUGAUUUUCAUCUUGCCUCUACCGGAAAUAAAACCUCAAGUUUUUGAACAGAAAAAAUCAGGUGAAGUACACACGAUGGAAACUGACAUUGGUGACUGUAAAAUCAGCACCAUUUCUGAAAGGUGACUUUCUCCAAAUCCUGGAUAUCAUGGGAGAACAGGGGCAAGAAUAAGAGGGAAUGUAUUACAGGCACAGAUGUGUUGGAUCUGAAACCAGAAGGUCUAGAACCUGGAGCAUCAUGGAACCAUCAUCAUCAUCAUCAUCAUCAAAUCAGGAUUAAGGAGUGAUACCCAAAUUCUGCUUAGAGUAUGUGAAGCUCAUGAUAGAAAGAGAUAUACAAGAUAUACUUUGAUAGAGUUGAUUUCUGGUCCACAAUUUGGUGGUCAAUAGUGACACCCAUUCAAGUUUUAUGCUAAACCAUCUAUUUGAAGAUAAGUAGAAAAGUAGAAUUUGAAACUCAAACUACUUAACUUUUAAAAAAGAGGCUGAAAAAUGCAAUAAGUUGUCACAGUCAAGAUCAGUAAUAGUCUCUUCCAACUUGUUUUCAGGCCUUCUUAUGAUGUAUGAAACAAAUAU